rnacentral:pre_miRNA from 1 species
AAGUUCUGUGAUACACUUAGACUCUGAGUGUGGGGAAGUCAGUGCAUAACAGAACUUUG